AUUGAACGCUGGCGGCAGGCCUAACACAUGCAAGUCGAACGGUAACAGGAAGAAGCUUGCUUCUUUGCUGACGAGUGGCGGACGGGUGAGUAAUGUCUGGGAAACUGCCUGAUGGAGGGGGAUAACUACUGGAAACGGUAGCUAAUACCGCAUAACGUCGCAAGACCAAAGAGGGGGACCUUCGGGCCUCUUGCCAUCGGAUGUGCCCGGAUGGGAUUAGCUAGUAGGUGGGGUAACGGCUCACCUAGGCGACGAUCCCUAGCUGGUCUGAGAGGAUGACCAGCCACACUGGAACUGAGACACGGUCCAGACUCCUACGGGAGGCAGCAGUGGGGAAUAUUGCACAAUGGGCGCAAGCCUGAUGCAGCCAUGCCGCGUGUAUGAAGAAGGCCUUCGGGUUGUAAAGUACUUUCAGCGGGGAGGAAGGGAGUAAAGUUAAUACCUUUGCUCAUUGACGUUACCCGCAGAGGAAGCACCGGCUAACUCCGUG
rnacentral:rRNA from 1 species